GAAGUUGGGGAAGAAGGAAGGGAAAAAAGGCUGGGUGGGGUGGGGUCAGUAGGGUUUCAAUUUUUUUUUUCUUUUAAAAUCCUAUUUAUUUUAGUUAAUGUAAUAUUGAAUAUUUCAAUUUUUAAAAUCCUAUAUUUUCUUUAUGUAUUUUUUUAUUAUUUAAAUUAUGUAAUAUUUUUUUAUUGUAAUGUUUGAAUUUUAUUUUUAAUAAAAAUUUGAAAAUUUAAAAUUAAAGUGUAGAAUUGGGGAUUUUAUUUUAAAAUUGGACUUGAAGGAACACAUUUGAUCUCGUUUUGGUCCGAUUGAGCCCUAGAAAAUUAUUGUAAUUUUUUUUAUUAUUAUUGUAUUUAAAUUAUGUCUUUAAAUUAUUGUAAUGUAGAAU
rnacentral:lncRNA from 1 species